GCCUGGGUGGCUCAGCAGGUUGAGCAUCUGACUUCAGCUCAGGUCACGAUCUCACAGUUCGUGAGUUCAAGCCCCUCGUCAGGCU
rnacentral:tRNA from 1 species